rnacentral:lncRNA from 1 species
UUAUUGGUUUAUUUAUUUGCCGUAGGUGCUUCUAUCUCGUUUCCUCAGAUGCUCCUGUCACGGCCAUUUGAGAGCUUCGGACCUUGCUGAUUUCUUCAAAGAGGAAACUGAUAAAGUAUGAUGACUGUGCUGCUGACUGUGACUUUCCUUAUGCAUCCUACCUAUCUUGUCUCUUUUUCCAUCCAGAUGAAUGAGAUUCUAAGGCUGAGAGCAGGUGUUUGUGAUGAGAUCCCAUGCUGUGACAUGCAUGCAGCACAUUCUUACAUGAAAAGCCCUGGCUGAUGAAAUGACCACAGGAAGACAACAUGGAACCCUCCCGGCACGAUCAGAAGAAGCUUAAUUAAGCUCUGUGAUUAAUUUUAAAGUGAGUAUGUACCUAUUUUAGAAGAAUAAUAAGAAAACUGAAAACAUGGCUUUUUUUUGGUUAUGUUUUGGUCUUCCUGACAUUCCUCAAGC